AUUACAUUAAAGCCAUUUUUCAGGUGUAUUUCCCCCCUCGUUACUGCUACUACCUUUGUAACAGGAGCAGUAUGGAUCAGGACCUGCUACACAGAGUACUUUAAAAAAGAAAAAUAAUAAUCUGUACGAAAUAGGGGAAAAACAAAGUUCUGUUAUCUUUGCACAGGUGAAAUCGUUUCAUACUCCUUAAAUUCCUGACAUGGUGGAGGAGGAAGCACAUUGCAUGCCGAGCGAUAUACGCACAGAUGGCAGCGCUGUCGCUUGGCCCAAAGCGCGCAGAAGAAGGGUGGAUCUCCUCCAAGGUAGAAGGUAUGGCUGACAGUCACAACUCGUCCUUGAUCAAGAUAUAAGCAGCAGGCUGUGCGUAGUGCAUAUGGAGCUGCACAGCCUAUUCCUGAGCCGUGCUCCAGGAACAGCUUGAUAUUUCCUGGCAAGCUCAAGGGUACCAGAAUACAGAGAUGGUCCGUGUCGGGUCACGUCUUGACUAACAACUACCGAUGCGAUCUGCUUCUCGGGCUGGACAGGAGCAGCUGAGCAGGGGCCACCUCCCGCAGAGGGUUCCACCAGCAAGACUUUGUCCCAUCCGACUUCUCCUGCCAUAAACCCGAGGAGCACAAGAGGGAGCCAGAUACUUUGGAGCUGAAAACCCAAAGUCUCUGCUGGGGUCCUGCCCAAAGGCACCCGGUGGAAGGAGGAGAUGCCAGAAGCAGGUCCUGCUUUGCCCCUUAGCCGGUGGAAGCAGAGCCCAGAUCACAUUUGCUUGGAGCAGAUGUUGGGAGUGGUUGCUUCCAGUCUUUCAUCGCUCACGAGGUGCUCUUACAUCACCUUCUUUCAAGUUUAUAGGAAAACGGCCUGCAGAGCCCUGAACCAGGCGAGCACAACACGGCACCACGCAUGGCAGAUCACCUUGGUGUGCCCAGGAGCUGGCGGGGACAGCCACCCCAUUACCGCUGCCCUGAGACAGAAGGGAGUUACCAGAAGGAGGAGGAGGCAAAACCCAGCAGUUCUGCUCGCUGGGGGUGAUUCUCCCUGCUAACCCCCAUCCCUGAAAGGUGGUAAUUAAAACAGCUUCCCCUCACCAAGUCGGUAUUACAUCAAGAGGCUGACAAUUUCCUGGAGAAAACAGCUGUGUUUCCACUAAUGAGCCUCAAGAUCAGCAAAACGCAAUGCCUGUGCACAGUUGUAGCUGCAGCUUUGGCACGUGAGACCCGAAGACCCUUUGAUAAUUCUUACUGGUAUUUCGUAGAGGGUUUUGUUUCUCCUACUGUUGUUAUGCCAACUUGCAAAAGUCUGCUCAUCAUGCUGUGAAGUUUUUUCUUUUAAAUAUUUACUGUGGGCUGUUGCUAAUUCAAUCAGGUGAUGGUGACACAUGGAAUGGGCUCUGUUAGGAGAGGGCAAAUAAACCAAAGCAGGAGAGGGAGGAGUGUAGGGCAGUGUGUUUCUGGGUUGCUGGAAGAAACGUGUUUUUAUAUCGUGCAGUUCAAUGAAACAUAGAUUUUUUUUUUCAUGGGGUGAAUUAAUUUUUGCACAUCUGGAGCAGGCAUGGGAGUUUGAGAAAUGGUUUCAUUCCCUUCACGUGGCAUAUUCAUGCUUUCACAAAUUACUUUGCAAAAUCACUGGUGUUCUUUGAUAGGGAAGCUGGGCAAAAUAAAGCAGAAUUGUCAAAUAUUGCUCCUAAGUGGCCUCUGCAGAUUCGUCACAACCAUAAAAGGCUGGCAACAGCUAAAAGUGAAGAGAUAAAAUAGUGAUGUUCAUUAAUCUUAAUGGUUAUAUCAGUGAGUAGAUAUUAGUAGUCCUGCUAUUGGGCUACAUAGAUCUGGUUUGCACAUCCAUGUGUGGUGUUGCUAAUGGCUAGUUUAUGAAUUGUGUUCUGCACUGAAUUUAUACUUGAAUUUGUGCUGUUGUAUGAAUAGGCAAUAAAUAUAGGUAUGGCAGGAGCAUGGUGACAGCAGCAGAUUAAGAGCAAAAGUCCAUCCUUCCUGACUCUAGACUGCUGCUGAGGUCAGCCCAAGUUUCCCAUCACCUUGAAAGGAGUUGGGACUUCAGGACAUGUGGGCACUCAGGGCAGCACGUGAGGCCAUGCAGAGCUGUGUCAAACACAGGUAGAUUCAUGUGAAAAAGGUCUCCCCAUCUCAUGGGCCAGCUGCUUGCUGCUGGCUUGUACUGGUCCCAGCUGCACAAUGAUGGGGUGCAUCUCCCAGGAGGGCGCAGGUUGCCAGGGAUGCAGCUGGAUUCCUGAAAAUGAGGUCUUAUGUGAAUUCUUGGGGCUUGGUCACAUUGAAGCAAGCAGGAAGACUCAUGCUUUCAUUUUUACCUGAUGUGGAUUGACUUGGCACCUCCACCAGUACCUCCUUGCUCCCUUGGGAGACUGCUCUGAAAAUCAUCUCUGUCACCUCUGUUUCUUGGUCUGUUUAUCAGUAGUUUCCCACUGCCCUCAUGGUGGAGGAGCCAAACCCCCUCGGCUCAAGCAAAUCUGCUGCCUAGAGGAGGUUUGGGAGAGGCUGAGUUUUGCCUGUCCCAGGUUGCAUGGAGGAACGAUGCCAGACUGCCUGUUUGUGGUGGAUCUGCAAAGGCAGAGGCACCCAGUGAUGGCAGGUUUUGUAUUAACUGCUCUUAGUAUGGGCACUGCUCAUAAGGCAUGUGCUAAGGCUGUGUUCCAUACCAGUACCAGUUCACCGCCACUCAGGAAACCAGCUGUACAUGUUUCAUAUAUUAAAAUAUUUCCAUAGAUUACUAAAGGGAGGACUCUUUUCUUCUGGGCAAGAUUCAACCACAGCUGAAUAGAUCAGUCCCGCUUUUGGCCCCUUUGGGAGAGCGUAGCAGGGAAAGCUUGUGCUCGUUGCGUUAAAAAUGAGUAUUUUCACUAUCUAGACAGAAGCCUUCAAUCUCCAGGGCCAUCAGUCUGUACCCCUGACAAAGACUGAAUGAAAGGCAAAACAUAAUUACUUACAUAUUACUCCAUCUGACAUCUUAAAUAUUAAGACAUCUAUCUAGUCUAAAAUCAUUCAUAUAAAUGUGUUUGUGGCACCUUAGGCUUAGGAAAUUUUCGAUAGAUGAAGUGAUAAUGUUCUUUGGUUCAUUUGGGCUCCUGGUGUAAUAGGAUUUGGUUUUCCUCAGGUGCAGGGGUUUUGCUACAGCCUCAUGCUGUGAAGUUUUGGUUCCACCUGCCAUGAGCUUUAUGCUAUUUCUGUUUGCCUUUGGAGGUAUUUUCCAUGAUAGUCCAGCACAUUAACAUGAAAUUUGAGGCAAUGCAUCCAUUUUUUGAAAAGUAAGCAUUAUGUAAAAUGACUAUAAAUGCCAUGUGUUUUCAUAACUGUCAAAGUAUUGCAAUUCCGUUGUUACUUUAUGGAUUGAAAAAUUGAGGCAAAGAGGGCAAACGCUUGCCUAAGGGUACACAUUCAAUAGCAAAAUAAAAAUUGACAAUAACACACUAAGGUCAGGCCAGAGAAAUAUUAACACUUUGUGAGCCUCAAGCACUUGGGAAGCGUGGGACAGGAGACCCCACACCAUGUUUAUGUUCCUAAAGCCCUCCGCGUCAAGCUCUCUGCCUUUUGAAGGUGUGUAUUUGCAGCCCUUUAACUGACAAGCAGAUUAAAAAGCCUGAAAAUGAAAAGAAUUGAAAAUUAUGAAAAUAAGGACUGCUGAGAAUCUCUUGUAUGUGCAGGAAUUGACAUUGGCAUGAGAACAACAGUAGGGGAUAUAUCAUGGCUCAUGAUAAUGCCUGAGCUGGAAAGCGGUGUCAUGUAGAGGAAUGAAGCUGGGUUAAUUAUCAUUGAUAAUAUACAGCUGUGGGCUGGCUUCAGGGGUGGUGGGUUGGCUGAUGUAGAUAAGGUGCAGCUGUGGCUUGUUCUGGUAAGUGAUUGAGAGCCAAUGAAAAGAGAGCAGCCGAGGAAGAAGUAGGGAGAGGAAAGAGUGGGCUCUGGGUGAGAUGAGAAGGCAGGAGAGAGGCUGGCAUGAAGAGUGUGUUGGUAUGAGAUGGUAAAAGACCUUGUUGCAGUUUGCUAGUUUGGAGAGUGCUGCGACAAUGACCUGCUGGUGUUGAAGCUGGCUGAGUGUGAGCGGGGACACUUGUACAGACUUACCAGGUGCUGAAUUUGUGUGUUCACAUUCAGACUUUUCCUGAUCCUCUCUCCGUAAUCAGCUCUGUGCUUUUGCAGUCCAUGCUUUGGGCCAUUCACAGAGCUGGAAAAAACUUGGUGAAAAUUGCAUAAAUUGAAGAGAAAGAAGAAUUUUGAAAACUCUUCCCUAGACAAAGAAGUAAAACUGACUUAGCAAGCAAGACUUCUUCUUGUUUAGGGAAAAUAACUGCUAUGUUUGACAUGGUCCCUUGUGAAAAUCUGUUUUUAUGCAGUACGCUAUAUAUGCCAUUCCCAAAACUUGCAUGUUUUGUAGCCAAAUCACAGAGCAUGUUGGUUUAUUUUGUGUAAUAAACCAUGUUUCUGCUCUUCUUUGCCUGAAAAAAGAAUUAACUCCAAAAAAAAGAAAACAGGGGAAUUGAAUAUUAGAAAGUGGAGGUGUGAAAACUUAGGGGACAUGGGAAUAAUUAAAAUUAUUUUACUACCCACUGGUACUUAAUGUGAGCUACACUUCAAACAUACACCAUUUAAAUUACCUCUGUAGCUGUCAGUAGUUUCACGGUGCCUGUGGAAGCUGUGCGGAGCUCGCUACAUCGGCCUCUCAUAGCCCUGAAUCCGGGGGAUUUGUUCAUCUUCCAGACCACAGAAAAGGGCUGUCCUGUGCACUAAUGAGACUCGCUGGCAUUUCAGGGUGAGUGGCUGGAGUCCCGGGGUCCCUGAGUAUCACAACUCGGGUGCGGGGCUCUUUUUAGGUCCGAUUUCAGCCGCUGCUUGCCAUGGAGGCCAUAAGGUCAGAAAAGCGACCUGCCAUCAGCUAGGGUGGGGGUUGUACAUCUGUCUAGGUAUUUGUGUUUGAUCAGCGUCACAGGGGCUGUAGCAAUAGGGGAAGCUGGGGAUGGCCCAUCUCAGCUCUAUAAUGUCAUUUUAAAAGCUAUUAUUUUGAUGAAUUAGAUGGCAGCUAAUGAGGUAAGCAAUAGGCUUUCACUCCUGGCUCUUCCCCGCUGGGGAUGGUGAUGGUCUAAGGACUUUGCAGGCAGGAAGCAGGAGCAUGGAUACAUACACCUGGGGCACCAUGUCCUCUGGGUAUCAUUCCCGGUGCCCUUCCCAAUGUGACAUCCCGAGGCUUCAGGACCCCCUAUACACAGCUUUACAGAGCCUGGACAUAGUGAGCUCAUGUAUAAAGCCAAGAAACAUGUCUUUUUUUUUCUUUUUUUUUUAACCCCCCCAUCAAGAAAUGCUAGAAAACAACAUUAAUAGCACUUCCCAGAUUUGUUAGCUGCCACGCUCCUUACUUUCAUCUCUGGCAAUAAGCAGCUCAUUAAACAAAUCAAAGGAGUUUUUAUGAAACUGCCUUCAUCCUGUGAGCCGUGGUUCACCCAGAUGCACACACAGCGUGUCCCUGCUGGGGCACUGCGGGUGCCCUACAGACAACAGUGCUGGCACAGGGAACAGGACCAUGGGCUUUGUGCCUGGGAAUAUGUGCUUCAGCUGAAUAACUUCAGGAGUGGGGUUUCCAGUAGGUCCCAUGGUUAUGCUCAGGUACUACCAGCUGGCCUGGUUUUCCUCUGUUUGCCAGGAUGUAUCUGUCCUGAUAGCCUGUGCCGCUAAUGAGAGCAGGUAAGUGGUUUGCAAGAGCCGUCCUUAUUGGGGUGAGACCCACGUGAAAGGCAGAAGCAGAAGCAAAGGGAAGCAGGGCUCGCUGUUCCCCAUCUCGAGUUACCCUUAGCCCGUACAGGAAGCGCUGGUCCGUGGGUGAUCUUAUACGCCAUAUGUUCUGCGGUAUGUGCUACAGCAGAGAGGCCCAAAAGGGUGUGUUUAUAUUGUAACUGUUUUGUUUUUAUUGUUCUUUAAGGUUUAUUUUGAUUUUUUUUUAAUAAUGCAUUUAUAUUUUCCUCCAUGGUGCUUACCUUUAGAGUUGAAGCUGUUAACUGUAGCCAGAUAUUUGGCAGCGAUGCAUCGUUUUGUACACUCACAAAGACCACUAACGUUUGCUCAGAGAUCGUUGCCACAUUAAUGAAUUGCAGGACGUGUAUGCAUGGGUAAACACAGCCUCAGCUCAGCCAUAAGGUGGGAACCAAGAUGUUCCAAAGAGCUCUACGAGUCACUGGCGCCCUUUGCUGAUGCCAGAGCACGGCUGGUCCCAGAGCACAUGGUGAGUGGCAGCAUCUGAGGGGUUUUAGUUUGCUGCACGUACUAUAACACGGUACGGUCACCAAUCAGGCUCCUGCGAAGGAAUGGGUGCCAUGUGAGUUUGCACGGGUAGCUUGGAGCUGCCCAUGCAUGGAGAUACGCCCGGGUGUGCUAGGGGAGGGCUCUGCUGAGCCAUGGGGUGAGGAGCCAGCCCUGCCACCUUACGCCCAUCACCCUUUAUGGGGCUGGGAUUCCCAAAUCCCAGGGGAGAACCACGGAGUAUAGAUGGCAUAGCAUCCUGCUGGUGUACGAAACCAUGGCAACACCAUUUUAAGCAUUUGUAGGCUGUUUAAUUUGGCCUAAAUGCUUUACAGGCUUUUUUUCCUUCAGCUAUUUUUAUUUUUAUGUGGAUUUUAAUAGACUAAUCUAAGUGAGAUCUUUGUCCCUCCCUGCAAUUGCCCCUUAAAGGCAGCCUUAUGAUGUACUUACUGUUAGACGUUUCUUGCUAAAAAGCCUUGGGUAGAAAAUAGCUUGGCUUGCCAGAGCAUCAGAUCGCCUGCAUGGCAUUUUGUUUUUAACCUUUGAAAUUGGUUUAAAAAAGCUCAGACUAAGACAAGGGCUCUGGCUGGUGCCAGUGGUGAGGACUCGAUGCUUCAUUUUUGUGGGAGCCUGCAGGUCCCCCCCUGCCCUUAAUCACAGCAAAACUGGUGUGAUACUCAAGUCGACUAAUUGUCGCUAUUAAAGGAAGAACAAGAAAGCUCAGACAGUUAAUAUGGGAGAUGGCUUUUGACUUCUGCAGAGGCAUUUUUUUUUUUUUAAGAUUACCUUCAAGAACAAGAGAGCCCAUUUAAUUUCAAAUUUAAUGACUUUCCACCAUACCUAAUUCUGCCAUUUCCAAGUACAUUAGCUACAUGAUCUCCAGAUUGUUAGAAAGAUGUCGUCAGAUACCAGACUGAAUGUCAGACAUAAAAGCUUAAUAAGUGACGUGCUUUACAUUUUUGGUGCAAUCGAAUAUAAAAGCAUCCACUCAGUUAAAAUUACCAGAGGUAAUUUCAACAGAGCUGUCAAGUCUUUUUUCCUAGAAAUUGAAGUUUUUCCUAAUGUGCUUUUACUGAGAUUGAGAGAAGUCAUUUCUGAUGUAGUUUCUUUGUAUGCAGGUAUUAUCGGAGAGAGGUGAAGCUUGACAUUUUUCUGAGAAAGUAUUUCUCUGGUUGUCCUUAGCAGAAUGCUGCUGGAGAUGCCCCCCCCAGUUCAGAUUGGGUCUGAACGUGUGGAGCUGAGAGCUGAGGCUACUUGGGGCAUGCUGAAACCCAUAUAUUCUGUUAAAUGAUAGAUCUCUCUCUUUUUUUUUCCUUUCUUUUUUCUUUCUUUUUUUUCUCCUGUAGAGGUGUGACAGCAAGGAACUGCAGUCCCUGCCUGAAAUAGUCCCAGAUGGGUGGCAUGGAGCACUCCCAAAGCUGCCUUUUGAAGGCAAAUGAGUCAUCGGUGGGACCUGUGCUGUAACUCUGCAAACCUGCUCAGGUUUACCAUGGGAUGUGGUGGAGAAAGGUCUGAACUACUUUGUAUCUACAGAAGAGAAAGGGGGGGGGGGAAAUCAGUGCUUUCAGCUCUUUAUUACUAUCAACUCUUCAUUAUUAUUGCAGAGUCAGGCAUGGGAAAAAGUUAUUAGUGCUGAGUUUAGGAUAACAGAAAAAUGUCAUUUCCAUGUUAACAGGCUGCAGUUGAGUCUGCAAAUGCUCACUCAGCCCUGACAAAACAGGUGCUUAACCCGAAGUACUUUGCUUAAGCACUUUGCUGGUUUGGGGGCUUUAUCAGUAUUGACUUUUAAACCAGAUGAUGAGCCAACCUGAGAGCCACUCAGCUGCCAUUGUGGCCUCCAAAAAGGCCUUUCUUUUCAAUGGGUGUAGCUUUUUGAGAUGCUAAUGAUCUUUUAAAGUCCACUGUUGAAUGUUGCUGGGUCCCUCUGAGCCCCAACUAUCCUUUCAAACAGUAAUAGAUGCUUCAUCAUCUCCAGAUGUUUGUUUUGCUCUUUUAAAGAAGGGAUGGGGUGAAACUGUUGUUGUGUUUUGGUUUUGUUUUUUUGUAGUUUUGGCUCUGAGGAACCUGCGUUUGGACUGCCCAAAAGC